rnacentral:misc_RNA from 1 species
AGAAGUAAAAGUCGUAACAAGGUCUCCGUAGGUGAACCUGCGGAGGGAUCAUUACAGAGUUCAUGCCCUACCGGGUAGAUCUCCCACCCUAUGUUAUUAUUACUUUGUUGCUUUGGCGGGCCGUUAGGCUCCGGCCCGACUACCGGCCCCGGCUGGUAAGCGCCCGCCAGAGGACCCAAAACCCUGAAUAUUAGUGUCGUCUGAGUACUAUGUAAUAGUUAAAACUUUCAACAACGGAUCUCUUGGCUCUG